GUUAUAGUUCAGUGGUAUAACAUUGGCCUGUCAAUCGAAAGGUUUUAGGUUCGACUCCUGCUGAGAACA